ensembl:lncRNA
CAGCGGAGGAACUUUGUGUGCAGGCCCCAACAUGGCCGCCCCCGGAGGAGUGUCAGGUGCGGGCCCCAACAUGGCCGCCCCCGGCGGAGGAACUUUGUGUGUGGGCCCCAACAUGGCCGCCCCCAGCGGAGGGUUGGCGUGCGCGGGCCCCAACAUGGCUGCCCUCGGAGGAACUUCUUGUGUAGGCCCCAAUAUGGCCACCCCCAGUGGAGGAUUGACGUGUACAGGCCCCAACAUGGCCGCCCCCGGCGGAGGAUUGGCGUGCGUAGGCCCCAACAUGGCCACCCCCGGAGGAACUUCAUGUGCAGGCCCCAACAUGGCCGCCCCCAGUGGAGGAACUUUGUGUGCAGGCCCCAACAUGGCCGCCCCCAGUGGAGGAACUUUGUGUGCAGGCCCCAACAUGGCCGCCCCCGGCACAGGGCUGGCCUGCGCCGGGCCCAACAUGGCCGCCCCCAGUGGAACUCCAUCAUGUGCAGGCCCCGACAUGGCCGCCCCCGGCAGGGGGGAGGCGGGGCCGGCGGCCGCGGGGGGCGGGGCAGAGGGGGCGGGGCCUCCAGGGGGCGAUGCCCGGCUGGGGCUCCGCCCCUUCGCCUGCCCCCACUGCCCCAAGCGCUUCGGGGCCCGGGCGGGGCUGCGCAAGCACCAGCGCCGCCACGACCCCGCCCCCGAGGCCCCGCCCCCGAGGGGGAGGGCGGGGUUACGUCCAGGCCCCGCCCCCGCGGGCACCGCCUAGGGCCCCGCCCACCCAGCACUUCACCCCUCCCCCACCGGAUACGGACAAAGGAGGGGAGGGCGGGGCCUUGUGCAAGCUCUGCCCCUCCCCUGGGGGCGUGGCUCCCCUUGACUCCUCCCCCCUCCCCCACCCCAGGUCGUGCGACAUUGGCAGGAAAUAAAGGCCCAAUCGGCUGCUCCGUCUCUGUCCGUCUCUGGCCCCACCCCCAAUCCCUGCACCGGGAGGGGCCCAGGCGUCCGGGGGGACCCAGGCGUCCGGGAAGGGCCCAGGUGUCCGGGAAGGGACCCAGGCAUCUGGGGAGGGACCCAGGCAUCCAGGAGGGGCCCAGGUGUCCGGGAGGGGCCCAGGAGUCCAGGAAUGACCCAGGCGUCCGGGAGGGGCCCAGGAGUCUGGGAGGGGCCCAGGUGUCCGGGAAGGGGCCCAGGAGUCCGGGAGCCCCGGCAGUGACAACUCUCUCUCUCUCCCGUCGGCCAUUUUCCGGCUCUUUAUUGGUCCCGGGGGGGGCGUCGGUUCCCCCUCCGGCCUCCGGGAGCAGCGAGACGGCGCCGUUGGCUGCCCAGAGCGGCCCCAGGGGGCGCCGCAGCCUCCCAGCCAAUCCCGCGUCUCCGUUUCCUGCCCCACCCCAGCCCCGCCCUAGCUGCCAGCCAA